rnacentral:tRNA from 1 species
GGGGCCAUAGCUCAGUUGGAAGAGCGGUUGAUUGAAGCUCAACAGGUCGGCGGUUCGAUCCCGUCUGGUCCCACCU